GCUGUCUCCUUAGGUCUCUCGCUCCCUCCCUUUUCUCCACCACUCACUUGCCCUCUCCCACCCUUUCAAGUGCCGUUUUGGUACACUUUCACUCCUCUACCUUCUCUCACUCCUCCGUCUCUGUCCCUCCCUUUCUCUCUGUUGUACCCCCCCUACCCCACCCUUCGUCUUGUCUUCCUUGUUUUGCUCACACUCUGAUAGCGUGUCCCUGCCAUGUGUUUGACUAUUGCCUCUCUCUGGCCUCCGCAGUGUGCGCUCAACUUUGGAGAGGAAGGCGCCGUCGGGAUGGCCUCGGCAUCCCCUCCUUUUUUGGGGGGAAUGGGGGUUCUGCACGACCUGACUCCAGCUCACUUGCCUCGCAGAGAUUGCGGCCUAUGUGCUUUCGAUUUUCCCAAGUUGCUCCUGCCAAGCAAGUCUGAAGUCUGAGCAUGAGUUUAGGACGAAGAGAAGGAUAGUAGCAAUCAUGGGAACACCUACUUGUAUCUCUGUGUGAUCUCAUCCAACGUCAGUCUUGGAAGCAUUUAUGUGGGAAUUUGCCCUGCAAACUGAAGCCGCAACAGAAGUCGUUGUCCAGAAGAUUUUCACACCGUCAACAUAACGCCAAAACAAUGGUUGACUGUGAGAAAAUUCGACAAACUAGUCCUGGGGGAACAAUUCAAGAUGGCUGCCACCUGCGUGUCAAGGUUUCAGGUGAGUCAUCCUGUCAAGAUAAACACUGAGCCUCAAUUUCUUUUUGAAUUAUACGAAGGGAGUGAUUAAGGACAAAUCUGGUCAGUUCAGAUUAAAUUUAAUACUACAUUUGAAUCAGCACCCAAAUUAGCAAAGUAUGCACUCACGGUGAACACUCUCAAUAAUAAUGUUUUUGCUCAAUAUUGCGAUUGCAAUUUAAUAUGCAAGUUUUUUCCCCACGGUUUUCUUUCCAUGUAUUUGUAUUACAACAAACAAAAUCAGAUUUAUGAUGCCAAAAUAUUUUGGGUCUUACUGGUUUUGGCUCCCGCUAAAAUAAAGACAAAUGAACCAUGAAUCAGUAUAAAAGUUUAUUUCUCUACUUCAAAGUUUGAUUUGCAUUCACAAGAGCAACUUUGUAAAAUUCGACCAGACAAGUGAAUUAUCAGUCCGAUAACAAAAAUAAUGCAACGUUUCAAGAUUCAUGAAACUCGGGCUUCCAGUGUGUGUUCAACCUGAUAAAUGACGCCAGUUGUACUGUGGAUAAAACACAAUUUUUGAUUUUUUUAAAAACUGAAUAUUCAUCGAUACACUCAGACCUAAAAUGUUUCAGUUGCGAAUAUUUAUUACACUUAAAUUAAUCUACCCGUGGUUGUGUGUAUAAGCAUAAACCUGUAUCAAAAAUGUUUAACUUUUUUGUUGUUGUUUUGUUGCAAAUAUACUUAUUAAUUUGUUUUAUUUAAAAAUAAAAGUGUGGAAAGUUCGUUGAUUGAUGGUUGCUGUUGUCAUCUGUUAAGUAGAGCUGGGUAUAUGUAUCGAGUAUUGAAGCAAAUUGACAAACGUUGUGGCUCUGAUUGUUGAUGGGUCGCAGUUACAGGCAAAAUGCUUUCAGCAGGCGUCCUGCUGAUUCACCCGAAACCAAUUUGCAACGCAAAGGAUGGUACGGCAAGUAGAGAAGGAAGUCAGGAAGUCAUCUAGCCGCGCACACCGCACUAGCCACGCACAUGAAUGAACAUAUAUUCUGCGUGUGUGUGCGUGUGUGUGUGUGUUACGCACACACACACACACACACACACACACGUACAUAAAUUGUGCUUUUUCCAAUGUAUAAUCAGAUUGCUUUUUAAUCGAUAAAGGAAGUUGAGUCUAUCCUUUCUCUUAACAGGGCCUUUACAUAUAUUUUGAUUUAUUUAGUGACGUGUCAACCAAAAUUGUAGAUAUUAAGCACUGUACGUGACCUGUAAAAUAUAACAAACCUAUUUAGAAGAGUGGAGCACUCUAGUCCAGUAAAAUAAAAUGGACCUUUGUUUCAGUACGUUUUAUUUUAUUUUUUUAUUUCAAUACCCACAAAGAAGCGUGCGAGUGGGCCCAUCACACUUGGGCCUUGUUUUUUUUCUUCAGGUCCAAGCUACGCGUUUGUGAAGGUUGCGUAACUCCAGAAUUGUGCUGUUCAUAGCAAUUGUCUCCCAAACACGACAGAUAAAAAACAUUUUCCCUUUUCUGCAUGACAAUGAACUCAAGCAUACUGUAUCCACGCAAACAAAAGAAUGAGGAUACAUUUUCUGGAUGUAUCUGGCCCAGUCCCAGCCCUGUUCUAAAUUCAACUGGAAAUGUUUUGGAGACGACCUGACAAAUUGUGCAUCACCUGCUUGUGUGCAGGUGAUGAUGCCCUUGGACAGUGACUCAUUUGAAGCCCCUUUCCAAGAAAUCACGGGCAAAUUUUUGUCACAUCCACUUGGGAGUGCCGACAGCCUCAACAUUCUAAUUAAAGCAAUUGUGCUUGAACAAAUUAUUUUUAGGGCUGUGAACACAUUUGACACUUUUUGUCACCAGAAACCAGACUUCUCAUUGACGUAUACUGGGUUAUAGGUCCCUAUUUUUGUAUCAUACACGAGUAUUGUCAUGCCAUUUUGUACAUAAGGACAAUGUGGUAUUUUAACCGGACGCUUUUGAACACAUUUACAACACAUAAAAAAAGCACAAGCUUGAGUCACGGAAUGAUGCAUGUCAUCAGUAAAACACUUUGAUAGAAUAAUGCACCACUGCGGAAUUUUGUAGCUGUAAUACAGUACUGCAUACACAGACAGACACAAUGCGGCAUAGAAUUACUCAUUAUACUUAUAUCAUUUUAAAAUGAAAUAUAAUGAGGACAUGAUCAUUUUUGCAACUGCCACUACUAUUAUUUGACAGAACCUUUUUGUUUUUGUUUUUUUGCGGGGGGGGGGGGGGGUGAAAGUUAGUAUUCCAUGAGCCGAAGAUCACACACAAUUAAUUGCCUUUCUCAUUUUGGAACAUUUUUGGCACGGAAGAAAACCACCAGCAAGCAAAAUCCAUUUGCCUGGAUUCAAUCUUUUGUAGAAUAGUGCAACCCGGAUAACUGAGAAGUGACACAGACACAACACACACACACACACACAUUUUUUUGCAAACACAUUGAUUUUUUUUAAUCAUAUUGUGACAGGAAGUUAAAAAUGACUUGGCAAUAGUGCUAAUAGGUGAAUGAUUUACUCUUGACAUUGGAUGUGAAUUUCAAACACAUUUAUUGAUGUUAAAAAAGAGAGUACAUGGGAGCUUUUGAAUUGUUAGUUUGAUGAGAAGCUCAUUUCCAAAUUACAUCCUUUCACUACCGGAAGAGGUUUUUUUUUUUGCAAACUUUUCUUCUCCUACGUGCUCAAUUUUGCUCAGCACUUCCAAACUUUUGCCCAACAUGAAAAGCCACAUUUACAGCACAAAGCAAUAUUGUUUAUUACAUGAAUCGAAAAAUAUACAGUCUGUACAUCAAGCUACACGAAUGAAGAAACACUUGGGAACAAAUUGAUGCCAUACAGAAACACUUUCCAAAGGUCAGUCCUACUCACUGGUUGGUAUCGAACAUCGAAUUCCAUUUUUUUGUAUCCAUUUUCAGAAAGUUAAAGUAUAUUUCCCACAAAAAACAAAAACAAAAAGUUCCAAAUCAAUUUUUGUUGGUGAACCAGUCCUGUGACUCCUUGAGCAUGAACAACUUUCAAACUGAGCGUUUUUUGCGGCGUUAGCUGGUGAAUAUGCUCGUUCUCAUGACUCAAGUGUUGCUCAUCGAGUCAGCGAUGAGUCGCCCGCCAUUUCUGAAAACCCUUUCUUGGGCUCUUUGUUCUUUGCGGUCUGCUUUUCCUUGCCGAGCUCUUGUAUUUUUACACUUUGUUUUAUAAUCUUUGUGCUAUUUGUGCACUCCUGGCAAAAUGUCCAUUCAGCUUCCAUGAAUUUUGUUUUGAGUUUGUUGCAUCCUCUGUGUGUGAAGAUCCCAGGAAUUUGUUGAUGUCGGGGGAAGGGAAUGGAAGAGGAGGUUCCAUUUUCUCUACACAACAGUUUCAAUGUUGGCUCUUUGUGAUUUCCUGUUCUGUGAAACAUAAAAUGUUGGAAUUAUUAUCUGGAGGUUUUUUUUUUAAAUGCUAUACAAAUACAGUUGAGUUGUAUGACGUUAAUUAUUUGUGCGUGUGUGUGUGUGUGUGUGUGUGUGUGUGUGUGUGUGUGUGUGUGUGUGUGUGUGUGUGUGUGUGUGUGUGUGUGUGUGUGUGUGUGCGCGCGCGUGUGUGUGUGUGUUGGAGGAAGUGGGAAGGGACGGAAAUGACUUGCCUCCUUCAAGAGAAAUUUAUCAGCCAUAAAGUCAACCGUUUGUGACGUGCCUGCCCACGCGGACUUGCCGUAUAGAAUAUUUGAUAAUGAUGCCGGGAAAGAAACAAUAGUAAAACCAUGAUCCAGCUCAUAUGUUGUAUGUCACACUGCAUAGCCCCCAGAGCGUGUCUUUAGGAUAUAUUUGCUUUUUGAUUACUUACAAACGGCAUUUUAGGGAUUGGGGCGAUAAUUCGCUCUUCGAGGGAAGUCUCUGCAACCUCUUGGUGGUGGUUCGGUAGUGAGCUUGUACUUGGUGGCUAAAUGUUGUAAAGGGUUUCCUAAUAUGGGCCGUCUUACAGGAGCGCCCUCCUCCCCCUGUGACCCCCCCUCCUUCAGGUUUCAGCCAGUGAUGACACAGCUCGGUACGACUCACUUCCCCAUUAAUUGGCUGAAACCAGUUCUUACAGGAUCCGCCUGUGAUAAAUGUGAGAGUUCUGAGAAGUCAUUCAUUUCUCCUCGCUGCAGCGGCAGAGGCGGCACUGCGAGGGAGUUGAACGGGUUCAUCCGUCUGUGUGAGUGUUGAGUGUGUGUAUGAAAGAGAGCGGGAGGAAACUGAGCGCCGAGUGGGAGAAUGUGGCUGACUACAGCUGUCGCGGGCACCAUCUGAAGACCAGACAACUUUAAUUUUCCUUCUUUGUUUUAUUGGAGGGGUUUUGAACACGAUGUUGACUUUUUGCCGCUGUUUUAUUAGCUAUUUCUAUUGUACGAGUGUGUGUGUGUGUGUCUUUGUUUCCGUGUGCGUGCGCAGCGAUGGGACUUGCACUCGUUGCCCCCCACCCCCCAACCCCCUCGUCUUCCUCCACAUGGACGUAGGGAAGCGGUGGAGACUGCGAAGAACAGCGUGUCCCCCUUUGUGGCUGCCCUUGGGCGGACUUGUCCCUCUGCUGGGUGCGGCACUGCAGCGCGCCUUAAGGGGCGCGCUCGGAGGCCCCCAGAGGGCCAAACCGCGCCGGAUAGGGGAUCCCAACUGUAAGUACAGGGGCCUUCAAGCCCCAACCCCACCCUACCCCCACUGCCCCCCCCCAGCUCACUGCCUCUAUUCAUUCACAUGUGCACACCGAGGAAGGAAUGUUUCCCCCCUCACUUUUGCCUCUUUCCCCGCACUUGUAUAAUUUUUACUCCUUUCUUCUUCUUCUUCUGCUUCAUUGUACAUUGACAGUUCUGUUUCCUUUCCAAAUUGGACUCGUAGACAGAAAAAAAAUGUUAAUUACUGUUUAUUUAGUUGUCAGCUAGAUUACAGGGGCUUGUUUAGAGUAACCGAGCACUGCACUAGGCGGGCUGGGGGGGGGGGGCUGUGUGUGUGGGUGGUGGAGGAGAGGGGCCACUGUGGGGUCUGGCUCCACUCAGUAUUGAAGCGUACGACUGUAGCGUGCUGACUCAUGCUCGCAUCUUUCCAAUUGGGAGCAUGUGAGUGCGUGCGUAUGGUCACUCCCCUGUGUGUCUCUCACAUAUACGCACUUGCACUCUGUGCCCCGCCUGAACUCAGCACUGACUGUAGACCGGGGCGGGGGCAGCCAGCACUGCCACCCUCCCCACCCUCUCUACUAGUGACAAUCCAUCAAAACCUCCCUGUCUGGAACAAAAAGAGCCAGUUGUAGCUCCAGCUCAUGUCUUGUCCAACGCUAUUUUUUUUUCCUCGCUGUCGCUGCGAGUGAUUCUUUGAGAACAAGAUUUCCUUUUUUUUUUUAAUGGGCUGUAUUUGGAAUGAGAAGAAGGAAAGACUUUAAGUUGCGUAAAGACAGAUUAAGGAGUUUCAAGAACAAUGUUCCUUUUUUCUUGUAACUCGAGCCCCGCCGCAGUUACAGGAGAGCGGCAAAGGCAAUUUUACUCGCAGGGCUGGGGUCAGCAGGGGCGUUCGGAGGGAGGACGGUGGGGGUUGCGACGUGUUUUAUUACCACUGAUCUCUAUCUGUCCUGCACAUGGAGCUGGAUCCCGCACCGGUUUACAGCACACGGGUGCGCUCGUGGUCCCCACAAGGAGAGCUGGAUGAAGGUUGCGGUCUCACGCCGCCGUGUUUUCACCGGCGCAUCAGCGAAGGAUCACCUCAUCUGCUUUCUCUGGUCCGGGUUCCCUCUCUACUUUCGUGCAUGUCAUUGUGUGAGUACUCGAAAGCUACGGUGUGAGUAAUUCAUUCCAAAAAGUCAUUGUUUGAACUUAUUUUUUUUUCCCCGGUUACCUGCCCAUUUUCGGAGGAGUUUGGCGAGCCGUGUCAGCGUCAGCUGCCGCGCCUGCGUUUUUGUUUGAGACGCGGCACACGUCUUUCUUCUAACGCUCAUCCCGCUACCUUCCGAGGCCAAGCGUUAAAACGCGGUCCGUAUCGCCCCUUUUGUCUGCCCUUAUUGUUCUGCCUGCAGGAAGGGAGCAUGAGUCAGCUACCAGAUGCAAGCGUGUAUUGAAUCACAUCGACGUGUGCGAAGGGAAACAGAGUUGCAAUAGGCUAGUGUUGUUGCAUGUGCUCUCGCUUUUAUCUCUUCAUAGUCUGUCCAAACUAGCCGCUUGCAUGUACAUUCUGGUAAGUGCUUCUCUUUUGAAACCUUUAACCCCGCAAGAUCAUGGAAGGGCAUUUAUAUCAAUUGUCUUUUGUGUGUGUGUGUCAGGUAUCUUUUAUUUGCCGUGAAGUGUUCUAGUUUCUUAUGUGCCGCCACCUCGCUACGCCGGACUGAGCGCAGCAGGCGCUCGAGCCGGCACAAGCGAGAGAGGGAAGGAGGAGGAGGAGGAGGAGGAGGUGGAAUGGGAGAGAGAGAAAAAAAAAGCCUCACGCGAGUGCACAGUGAAAAGCGUCUAUGCCGUUACCUCAGCUGAACCCCCGAAUGAACCCGUUGCACUCCCUUCGGUCGCAGAGCCAAGAGACGAAUCACUCGAGUAGAUUCGAAACAGAGAGGUACUGUUGGGCGCCCUGGCUCCCGGCUUCCCCUCCCGACGCUGCCGUCUCCCUCUUCCCCCUGUCACGGUAAGUGGGAUUAUAAGGCUUUUGUUCUGUCCGGUGUCCUCGCGCUCAUCGGCGGUGGUCACUCUCCUGGCCUGCCACAUAGCUUAUCAGACUGGUGUUGGCUGUUAAGAUUACAAGGCGACAACAGUCUGUAGGCUGUCUGACAUUCCGGGCUCUUUCAUCUGACCAGCAUCCUGUUUUGUCCUCCUCCUCCUCCUCCUCUCUUUGUCUCAGCUAGCAUCAGUUCCCAUUUCUGGGUGGGUGCGCUACCGUGAUACUUCCCAUUCAUCCCAAGUCUUUAUUUCUUCCUCCACGUUGACGUCUGAGGCUGUUUAAAAUGUGGAACUAAGGGUAUAUUGGGGCGGAUUCAUGCGUGCCAGUACCGAUGAACUUCUGUCAGUUGUGUGUUUGUGUGGGUGUGAAGAGUCCUUGAAUUUCCAGAGAAUCCAGACAGCACACACCUCAUUGCGACACAUGCGAUUGUGACAGCAGUUGUCAUCGUAGUACACACGCUUCCCUUUUACAACUUCCCUGUCCUAAACUCUCGCCUCUUGCGACAUGUUUUUCUUUUUUAUUGCCACUCCAUCGUGCCGACUGUUAAGGUGGCCUUUUGAUAAAAAGCCAAAAGUCAGUCAACAGGUGAGUUGUUUUAAAGCAGAAAAUUGCUCAUACAUAUAAUAAUGUUGGAUAAUAGUGAAGCAGACCCCUGACUUGUUUCAUAUUGUGUAAAUGUCUUAUGCAUUGUACUACUUACUGUCUGUACCUGAAUUGAUCAUUGCUGUCUUGUUUUUUUUUUCACUUCUAAUAAAGUGUGCUUCCAAAAAAAAAAA